rnacentral:rRNA from 1 species
UACGUAGGCAGCGAGCGUUGUUCGGAAUUACUGGGCGUAAAGAGUGUGUAGGCGGUGCCCCCAGUCUGUUGUGAAAUCUCCCGGCUUAACUGGGAGGGUGCAGCGGAAACUAGAGUGCUAGAGGGUGGGAGAGGUAAGCGGAAUUCCUGGUGUAGCGGUGAAAUGCGUAGAUAUCAGGAGGAACACCGGUGGCGAAGGCGGGUCUCUGGGCCGUUACUGACGCUGAGGAGCGAAAGCGUGGGGAGCGAACAGG